GGUUCGAUCAUGGCUCAGAUUGAACGCUGGCGGGAUGCUUACACAUGCAAGUCGAACGGCAGCACGACUUCAGUCUGGUGGCGAGUGGCGAACGGGUGAGUAAUGUAUCGGAACGUGCCUAGUAGCGGGGAUAACUACGCGAAAGCGUAGCUAAUACCGCAUACGCCCUUCGGGGGAAAGCGGGGACCUUCGGGCCCCUGCACCAUUAGAGCGGCCACAUAUCGGAUUAGCUAGUUGGUGGGGUAACGGCUCACCAAGGCGACGGGAUCCGUAGCUGGUCGAGAUAACGACCAGCCAUGACUGGGACUGGAGAUUACGGUUCAGAUCACAUGGGAGGCAGCAGUGGGGUAACUUGGACAACGGGGAACUCUGAUCCAGCCAUCCCGGGCGUGCGAUGGGCCUCGGGUUGUAAAGCACUUUGGCAGGAGGUAAAGAAAACGGCACGGGAUAAUACCCCCGUGUGCAACCGACGGGGCACCUAUAUCGCCACCCGGCUAACUACGUGCCAGCAGCAAGGUAAUACGUAGGCAAGCGUGCGUUAAUCGGAAUUACUGGGCGUAAAGCGUGCGCAGGCGGUUCGGAAAAGAAAGAUGUGAAAUCCCAGAGCUUAACUUUGGAACUGCAUUUUUAACUACUGAGCUAGAGUGUCAGAGGGAGGUGGAAUUCGCGUGUAGCAGUGAAUGCGUAGAUAUGCGGAGGAACACCGAUGGCGAAGGCAGCCUCUGGGGAUAACACUGACGCUCAUGCACGAAAGCGUGGGAGCAAACAGGAUUAGAUAAUUCUGGUAGUCCACGCCCUAAACGAUGUCAACUAGCUGUUGGGGCCUUCGGGCCUUGGUAGCGCAGCUAACGCGGGUGUAGUUGACCGCCUGGGGAGUACGGUCGCAAGAUUAAACCGUGUUGAAUUGAUGGGACCUGCACAAGCGGUGGAUAUGGAUUAAUUCGAUGCACGCAAAAACCUUACCUACCCUUAAUAUGUCUGGAAUCCCAAAGAGAUUUGGGAGGCUCGUGCAGAAUCCAACACAGGUGCUGCAUGGCUGCUUCGCCGCUCAAAUGUGAGAUGUUGGGUUAAGUCCUGCAACGACGCAACCUCUUGUCAUUAGCGAAGUACGGCAUAGCACCUAAUGAGACUGCCGGUGACAAACCGGGAGGAAGGUGAUGACGUCAAGUCCUCAUGGCCCUUAUGGGUAGGGCUUCACACGUCAUACACUGGUCGGGACAGAGGGCUGCCAACCCGAGGGGGAGCCAAUCCCAGAAACCCGAUCGUAGUCCGGAUCGCAGUCUGCAACUCGACUGCGUGAAGUCGGAAUCGCUAGUAAUCGCGGAUCAGCAUGUCGCGGUGAAUACGUUCCCGGGUCUUGUACACACCGCCCGUCACACCAUGGGAGUGGGUUUUACCAGAAGUAGUUAGCCUAACCGUAAGGAGGGCGAUUACCACGGUAGGAUUCAUGACUGGGGUGAAGUCGUAACAAGGUAG
rnacentral:rRNA from 1 species